rnacentral:rRNA from 1 species
UGCCAGCCGCCGCGGUAAUACGGAGGGUGCAAGCGUUGUUCGGAAUUAUUGGGCGUAAAGCGCGUGUAGGCGGUUCGUUAAGUCUGAUGUGAAAGCCCGGGGCUCAACCCCGGAAGUGCAUUGGAAACUGGCGAACUUGAGUACGGGAGAGGAAAGUGGAAUUCCGAGUGUAGGGGUGAAAUCCGUAGAUAUUACACAGAACACCGAUUGCGAAGGCAGCUUACUAAGCUGUUACUGACGCUGAUGCACGAAAGCGUGGGGAGCGAACAGGAUUAGAUA